UGGGGAAUAUUGCACAAUGGGCGCAAGCCUGAUGCAGCCAUGCCGCGUGUGUGAAGAAGGCCUUCGGGUUGUAAAGCACUUUCAGCGGGGAGGAAGGCGAUAAGGUUAAUAACCUUGUCGAUUGACGUUACCCGCAGAAGAAGCACCGGCUAACUCCGUGCCAGCAGCCGCGGUAAUACGGAGGGUGCAAGCGUUAAUCGGAAUUACUGGGCGUAAAGCGCACGCAGGCGGUUUGUUAAGUCAGAUGUGAAAUCCCCGGGCUCAACCUGGGAACUGCAGCUGAUACUGGCAAGCUUGAGUCUCGUAGAGGGGGGUAGAAUUCCAGGUGUAGCGGUGAAAUGCGUCGAGAUCUGGAGGAAUACCGGUGGCGAAGGCGGCCCCCUGGACGAAGACUGACGCUCAGGUGCGAAAGCGUGGGGAGCAAACAGG
rnacentral:rRNA from 1 species